rnacentral:rRNA from 1 species
UGGGGAAUCUUGCACAAUGGGGGAAACCCUGAUGCAGCGACGCCGCGUGAGCGAUGAAGGUUUUCGAAUCGUAAAGCUCUGUCCUAUGGGAAGAUAAUGACGGUACCAUGGGAGUAAGCCCCGGCUAACUACGUGCCAGCAGCCGCGGUAAUACGUAGGGGGCGAGCGCUGUCCGGAAUUACUGGGCGUAAAGGGUUCGCAGGCGGCAUGGCAAGUCCGAUGUAAAAGGCGAAGGCUCAACCUUCGUAAGCAUCGGAAACUGUCAAGCUUGAGUGAAGGAGAGGCAAGGGGAAUUCCGAGUGUAGCGGUAGAAUGCGUAGAUAUUAGGAGGAAUACCGGUGGCGAAGGCGACUUGCUGGACUUCAACUGACGCUGAGGAACGAAAGCGUGGGUAGCAAACAGG